rnacentral:lncRNA from 1 species
GCAGAGCCAGCUUCAGUUAGCUCCAGUUUCAGCAUAGCAGCUUGCUGAAGGCUAUGAAAGGGUCGUGUUUUUUCCUGUCUGCCGUAUCCAUGUCAGGGGCCUGGAGAGCCAACUGACUCUCCUGUCAGACAUGGGAAGAAUUCCUUAUGUCCCGGAGCUUCCUGUUUUUGUUUUUGUUUUUUUUUCCUAUUUUAUCUCCCAUUGGCAAAAAUGUGCUGGUCACAGGCUCAGAGCUACGCUUCGGGACCGGAAGAGAUCAUCUCUAGAUGGCUGCAACUUCACAAGGUGUCAAGAAUCAAAGAGAACAAAUUUAACUGGUCACAAUGAGGAAGCUGUGGGAGACAGUCCUAAUCUUUUUUCAAUAUUACCAUCAAGAGCAAGGAAAAGAAAAAUGAGGGACAAGUGGCACAGACAUGGUCUCUUAAAAUUCAGCAACCAAAAGUAA